rnacentral:lncRNA from 1 species
UGCCCAUGUUAGAUAAACAUCGUCGGCAUGCCUACGUCGUGUUCCUUCUCUACGGCGUUGGCUUUGCAGUUCAAUGCACAGUUCCCACUUUAGUGGCUUCAUUUUGACAUGAAAAUUUCUAACUAAAUGAGAACGUUAAAGAUUGCUACUACACAAUCAUAAUUUGAGGCCUGGCAUCAAGAGUUUUUAAGUAAAUUUGAACAUGAUUAUUGCUACUGCGUAAGAUUAAAGCAGUUUUGAAUGCGACCAUUGCUACUGCUGCACCAACAGCUUAGUUUUUUGAAGGAAAUUGGAGGGGUUUACACCCCUACAGCACUUUAUUAAUAGCAGAAAUAACAGUAACAGUAGCCACAGAAAGAAAAAGAAAAGAAAAAGGGAGAUAACCAAAGCUAAAAGAAAAGCAAGGGUAGUGUGCAACAAAUGCCCACACAUCUCAACACCACGACCUUACUG